rnacentral:rRNA from 1 species
UACCAGCACCCCGAGUGGUCGGGGCGAUUAUUGGGCCUAAAGCAUCCGUAGCCGGUUCUGCAAGUCCCCCGUUAAAUCCAGCUGCUCAACAGAUGGGCCGCGGAGGAUACUACAGAGCUAGGAGGCAGGAGAGGCAAGCGGUACUCAGUGGGUAGGGGUAAAAUCCGUUGAUCCAUUGAAGACCACCAGUGGCGAAGGCGGCUUGCUAGAAUGCGCUCGACGGUGAGGGAUGAAAGCUGGGGGAGCAAACCGG